rnacentral:misc_RNA from 1 species
CUUCUUCUUCUUCUUCUUCUUUAGCCUAUUUCAUCCAGGCCUGCUUAGCCAUUCUCUUCUCUCUGAGUGUCCAACAUGAUGAAUAUGUGUCGGACACAUAUCCUGUGUCGUUUCGUGUCAACAUGGGUAUGGCAGGGUAAAUUGAAGAGUCUUGAGUAUCAGAGAUUUAAUAUAAGCAAAGGAGCCUACAAAUGCUUUUUCUUUCCUAUCUUUGUUAUGCAUUAGAAUUGGUCUAAAAUUUUUCCUACAUCAGGUAUUUAAUCUCCUAAGUAUGCAUGGAGGCAUGAAUACAUAUGGAAAAUCAAACUAUCAACAUAUAAUCACGAUGAAAGCACCAAAUGACCUCAUUUCAAGGUGAUGUAGAAAACUUAUGCCAAACCAAAAGAGUAAAAGAAUAAUGCAGCAAAAGUAACUCCACUUAUGUUGCCAAGAAUAGAACAUUAGGGUACAGAAUCAC